GUCUCUUCAUUUGUUGGCGCGGGCACGUGCUCGGCCGGUGUUGGUUUUCCUGUGCUGGAUACCCGUGUCGUGGCAUCGAACGUCGGUUAAAUUGUCCCUCAGCCCCCUCGUGCUGCUGCUCCUCGCGGGCCAGCGGCGCGGGGUGGCCCAUAUAGCGCACGCCGUGUGUCCCAUCCCGUCGACCCGUAAGGCGGGCGUCCGGGCUGACGAUCCACGGCUUGAUGCUCGGUCCCUUGGGUACGGAACGUCGCGUGGGGUACGGGGCCGUCGGCCUCGUAGCACCACCAACAAGCGUUCUACGCUUCGUGCGAACGACCGCCGGCCCGGUCUCUGGCUGGCCCUCG
rnacentral:misc_RNA from 1 species